GUGAAGAGAGACUUGGGGCGCCACUCAUGCUGGAUAAGGGCACUCGCUUUCCCAUAGUUGUUCAACCGAGCCUUCACUGUAGUCAGGGGGUCGAGUGCAUGCUGCGUGCCAAUGGUCAAUGUGUUUUCAUUGCUUGAAAAACUACGGGUCAGCUCUGCACCAACGGCUGUACUGGUCAAUGGUCUCACUGUGUGGUAGUAGGAAGCAGUAAGGGUGUCUCCCUUAUCAUUGCUGUGGUCAUCAUCAAAAACAUUCCCAUCAGCAAAGGGAGACUUCAAAUAAAAAAUAUGCACAAACAGCAGAAAUAACUCCACUUUAAUGUUUUAACAUCGAGCUAAUCCCAAGUUCAGAGUAAAAAUGGUUGUCCUAGAUGAUACAAGAGAGUAGACCUUCCACAAAAAUCAGAGAAAUUAGUUCAGUGAGCAUCUUUAGCAAUACUGCCAGUAAAUAAUUAUUCACCAGCAAAUGCCUUCAAAACUUGCAUUUCUCUGCAUUGAACUACAGCUCAAGCUCUUUAAUGGGAUAGUGCCAGCAAAAGAAUUCUCACGCCAGUCUUUAAACCGGUAGAGCUCAAUGCUCAGUGAACAUAAUCAAUGAAAGCAACAGAAAGUAACAGCUAUUAGAGUAAUUAACUAAAAUGUAACUUCUUUCACCGCGUUGAAUUACUCACACUGUCAGAGAAGCAAUCAGGUCAGCAUUUGUAUAACUCAACCCUGCAUUGUAUUUAGUGAAGUUCCCAGUAGCAGUAUCAAAUGAGAGAUCCGUCCCAAGAGAAACAACAUUACUCCCGAUCACGCCUGAGAAGUUAACAAUGGGAUUUGCAGUCAACCCAAGGCUAGUGCUUAUCCCAGCAUACUCAUGCUGGUACUGGAGUUCCACCUGUUAGCACAAGAAAUUAAAUCAGAUCAUAGAGUGGCAAAAAACAGCCUCAUUAACACUGUGGCAUGCCCAUUAAUGCAGUAAGAAGUUCCAAAUAGACAAGACAACCAUGACCUCAAUGUUUAACAACAAAUACAAAAAAUCAGACCAGCAAUCAAUAACCAUAACCGCAAAAUAAUGAUGCUCCCAACAGCCAAGCAAAGCAGGAAGUAGAAACAACUGAAAAUGACAAGAUAAAAGUUAAUUGACAAGGAAAGAACCCUUUUACCUUGCCAGAUCUCUGAUCAGGGACUUUGAAGCUAAAGAUGGUCUUGAGCCCAGGAGCAGGUUCGUCAAUAGUAAUAGUUGUGAGAAGCUACAGAUGAACACAAAACUAUCAAUUGCACAAUCAAAGCAUCAUAUUACUAGUUAUAUAAUUAUCCAACGAAUGUUCACUGCAUGGAAAAAAGUUAUUCUAAUUAGCUGCGAUGAAUGCCAAAAGGAAUUUCAUCUUUUGAAAAGAAUGCGAACAAACUGCUUUACAACCUUAUGUAGUAAAAUCAUGCUUUGGUCCAGCAAUACAGGCAUGGGGUAUGUCCUAAAGAACAAUCUAACAAAUAAGACAGCAAUACAUGUAAUAUAAAGCAACCCUGCAAUGCUCUAUCCUUCACAUCUAUAGUCAACUGAAGUAAACGCUGUAUUUAGGGAAAUUUGUUUCUCGUAAAAUAUCUUACAAAAAAUUUGAUCUACAUAAAUAUUUUAUGGUCAACCCACAAACUUAGUUCGUUUAUUGGAAAAAAAUUUCAGCUCAUGAAAUUUUGUAAGAUAUUUUACAAACAGUAAUAAACUUUAGCUAUCACACAACCAUUUCACCACCUUCACCACCACCAUCCCAUCACCACCACUAUCACCUCUACCACCCCACCAUCACAACACAUCAUCAUUGUUUCACUACCACUAUAAUUUCAAUUCAUUACUUACCAAAAAUCAUAAAAUUUGUUCUAUGUAAAAUGUCUUACGGAAAAUAUUUCAAAUGUAAAUUAUAAUGCAAAAGAUUUUUUCUAAAACAAAUACUAGGGGUGAGCAUUGGGGUAUUCAAGGGAAUGCCAUUUCCAAUACUUAUCCCAAUUAUCCAAAAUAUUUUUUUCCUUACCUAACCCUAUUUCUUUUACCCGAUCAAACAAUUUGGGUAAUUCAGAUAACUCAAAUUACCUGAAUUUUUUACCUAUUACCCCAUUAAUUUUUCUUCCCCAAAGUUUUGACUACAUGAGAAUUAGGUUUAAGGAACAUUACAAGCCUAUGAGUUUUAAAAAUUUAUGAAUUAUUAUUGGAUAACCUGAUUUUUUUUUGUUUAACCCGAAUUACCCAUUUUCUGCAAUUUUUAAAAGUUUAUAAUCCAAAUUAGUAGUUUUUUUAAAUGCUCACCGCUACCAACACCUCCUUAAAUGAAAAGGAGUUAUUGAAUCAUGGUGGUAUACUGGUGAAUUAAUGCGAUAAUUCGCCAUAUCUGGGAUAAGAGAUCACAUACAACUUGUUUGACCAUAUAAUUGAGAUGAAUACAAAAAUCCCAUCUUCAAACAAUUUACACCGGUACUCAAGAAAUGUAGAGCUUCAUAGCUCACCAACCCAGAGCACAAAAGAGAAGAAAGUACCUCUGAUAGUGACUUGAAGUCUAAACAGGAUCAUCAAACAAGGGCAUAAUAUACAAAUCACAAGCACAGAUAAUUAUCAUUUCUGAUUUGUUAAAAGUGAAAGAACAAGAAGGAGAGCAGGCAAGCUUUAAUGUCUUACAUUGGAGUUUGUGUCCACUUUUAUAUCAGUUGUGAUGUUCUUGUUCUUUAGCUGACCGCUGACAUCUGCUAAAAACAGCUCACCUUUCUUGAUCCCAGUUGAAGUGAGUGCCUGGAAUGCGAAAUAAAUAUAAUGUCAGAUGAUAAUAUUAUAGAAGGUUGUUUUCAAAAGAAACAAGAACAUAUGCUUCAAUGCAAUUAACUUGAUAGAAGACAUCGAAACUAAAUAUCCAAUCUAAAGGAUUUCACAUCUGCACAUCCAAAACAGAUGGUCCAUUCUCAGGUGUAAUAUUUAACGAGUUAAAGAGUCUCGCGCCAAUUCGAAACCCAUAUGCCAUAUCACCGAUACCAUAAUUGCGAAAGAAUUAAUCAUGGUAAACUAAACAAAUCAAUGCAAUUAUAAUCGCGGCAGUGUUUCCUUUUAUUUUCAAGGCUACACACACAUGGUUGUUGCUUAAUUUUCCUUUACUGUUUGUGAAUCGUACAAACAGCUCAAUUAAAUCAGCCAAAACGACAUGCUGAGCAAAAAAUCCAUAAAUGCAAAUAAAAUUAUCAAAAUAAUAUAGAAUCCAAAUCCUGCUGCUAAGAGCCAGUUUGGUAUUAUGGUAACGGUUGUUUUUCAAAAUAAUUUUCGCUUGGAAAUGCAUGAAAAUAUUUUUUUUAUUUUUUAUAUCAACAUAUCAAAACAAUUUAAAAAAACACAGGAAAAACAAUUUGAAGCAAAGAAAAAAAAUAAAAAAAAUUCAAUUUUUUUCAAAAAUGCAUUUGAAACACAAAAACAGGCUCUAAGUGCAAAGAAAUUAAUCGUCCAGCACUUAACAAUGGAGAUUGACCAAUUCAUUUCUCAUCAAUAAAAAAAUUAUUCAACUUAACUGUUUUCCUAGGCCUAACAUUACAACUUCUACAUGGAAUAUAAAGGGGGAAAAAAACAUGAGGAUUCAUCUGGGCAGUCCGUUAAUUAAAAAAGAACAUCAAUACCACAAUUUUAAAAAAAUAUAUAAUUAAUAAAAAAAAUAAAAGGAAAAGGAGAGAAAAUUACAACUCCAGUUGAGGUAUAAGUAGUGACAGUGAACUUGUGGUCGCUCUGGUAAUCUUUAUAGAGA
rnacentral:lncRNA from 1 species